CCUACGGGUGGCUGCAGUAGGGAAUCUUUCACAAUGGGCGAAAGCCUGAUGGAGCAACGCCGCGUGCAGGAUGAAGGCCUUCGGGUUGUAAACUGCUUUUAUAAGCGAGAUAUAUGAUGUUAACUUAUGAAUAUUGAUCGUCUAGCAACGUGCCAGCCGCCGUGGUCCUACGUAGGAUCCGACGAUUAUCCGGAGUGACUGGGGGUAAAGAGUUGCGUAGGGGGCAUAAUAAGUAGUUAGUCAAAUCUGGUGGCUCAAACAUUCAGACUGUUAGCUAAACUGUUAAGCUCGAGACCGUUAGGGGUAACUGGAAUUUCUAGUGUAGGAGUGAAAUGCGUAGAUAUGAGGAAGAACACCAAUAGCGUAGGCAGGUUACUGCGACGGUUCUGACACUAAGGCACGAAAGCGUAGGGAGCAAACGGGAUUAGAUACCCCAGUAGUC
rnacentral:rRNA from 1 species